rnacentral:rRNA from 1 species
UACGAAGGGGGCUAGCGUUGUUCGGAAUUACUGGGCGUAAAGGGCGCGUAGGCGGUGCGUCAAGUCAGGCGUGAAAGCCCCGGGCUCAACCUGGGAACAGCGCUUGAGACUGGCACGCUCGAGUUCGGGAGAGGAUGGUGGAAUUCCCAGUGUAGAGGUGAAAUUCGUAGAUAUUAGGAAGAACACCAGUGGCGAAGGCGGCUCACUGGCCCGGUACUGACGCUGAGGCGCGAAAGCGUGGGGAGCAAACGGG